GAUGAACGCUGGCGGCGUGCCUAAUACAUGCAAGUCGAGCGAACGGACGAGAAGCUUGCUUCUCUGAUGUUAGCGGCGGACGGGUGAGUAACACGUGGAUAACCUACCUAUAAGACUGGGAUAACUUCGGGAAACCGGAGCUAAUACCGGAUAAUAUUAUGAACCGCAUGGUUCAAAAGUGAAAGACGGUCUUGCUGUCACUUAUAAAUGGAUCCGCGCUGCAUUAGCUAGUUGGUAAGGUAACGGCUUACCAAGGCAACGAUGCAUAGCCGACCUGAGAGGGUGAUCGGCCACACUGGAACUGAGACACGGUCCAGACUCCUACGGGAGGCAGCAGUAGGGAAUCUUCCGCAAUGGGCGAAAGCCUGACGGAGCAACGCCGCGUGAGUGAUGAAGGUCUUCGGAUCGUAAAACUCUGUUAUUAGGGAAGAACAUAUGUGUAAGUAACUGUGCACAUCUUGACGGUACCUAAUCAGAAAGCCACGGCUAACUACGUG
rnacentral:rRNA from 1 species